GAUGAAGAACGUAGCGAAAUGCGAUAAGUAAUGUGAAUUGCAGAAUUCAGUGAAUCAUCGAAUCUUUGAACGCACCUUGCGCCCUUUGGCCAUUCCGAAGGACAUGCCUGUUUGAGUAUCAUGAACACCUCAACUCUUCAUGGUUUUCCAUGAUGAGCUUGGACUUUGGGGGUCUUGCUGGCCUGUGGGUCGGCUCCUCUCAAAUGAAUCAGCUUGCCGGUUUUUGGUGGGCAUCACAGGUGUGAUAACUAUCUACGCUUGUGGUUUUCCACCAGGGUAACCUUCAGCAGUGGAGGUUCACUGGAGCUUACAAAUGUCUCUCCUCUGUGAGGACAGCCCUUUGAAUGUUUGAUCUCAAAUCAGGUAGGACUACCCGCUGAACUUAAGCAUAUCAAUAAGCGGAGGA
rnacentral:misc_RNA from 1 species